rnacentral:rRNA from 1 species
GGCGUCAGGAGUGAACGCUAGCGGCAGGCUUAAUACAUGCAAGUCGUGGGGCAGCAUGAGUAGCAAUACUUGAUGGCGACCGGCAAACGGGUGAGGAACACGUACACAACCUUCCUUCAAGCGGGGAAUAGCCCAGAGAAAUUUGGAUUAAUACCCCAUAAUAUAUUUGAUAAGGCAUCUUAUUAAUAUUAAAGCUUCGGCACUUGAUGAUGGGUGUGCGGCUGAUUAGAUAGUUGGCGGGGUAACGGCCCACCAAGUCUACGAUCAGUAGCUGAUGUGAGAGCAUGAUCAGCCACACGGGCACUGAGACACGGGCCCGACUCCUACGGGAGGCAGCAGUAAGGAAUAUUGGACAAUGGACGAAAGUCUGAUCCAGCCAUGCCGCGUGAAGGAUUAAGGUCCUCUGGAUUGUAAACUUCUUUUAUAUGGGACGAAAAAAGGGCAUUCUUGUUCACUUGACGGUACCAUAUGAAUAAGCACCGGCUAACUCCGUG